rnacentral:sRNA from 1 species
CUCUUCCUCUCCUUCUCCAGCAUCUCACCCUCUCCUUCUCCAGCGUGCUUCUCCAGCCAUUGUCUACUACCUUCAACGACACUGGCGAUGCAGCGGCAGAGGCGGCCGCCCUCUGUCCAUGGAGAGCAGAGGUGGCCAGUCCCGAGCUCGGGACAACCAGAUCCACGCGCGGUAGCCUCUUCCUUCCUCUCCCCUGCGUGGCGCGGUGGCGGCCGCCUCUUCCUCUACCUAGUGCAGUGGCGGUGACCCCUUCUUGUUCUCUGCACGUCACGACAACAGUUGCGAUGAUUGUCUCUUCCUCUCCCUGCCCCAGCACGAUAGACACUGGAUCCGGCCAACACGAUGGUGACUGCAGGUUAUUCAUGGUGGAGAGUAGGAAUCUAAUUGGAUUGCCAAUAUUUCAGAAUGAAUUUUUGUGAUUUAUGAUGUUUGAUUUGUGCGGGGAUGUUGUUGUUGGAUGGAUCCAUGGUGAUUUGUCCUAUGUGAUUUGGGGAUGUUGUAGGAUGGAUUGAUGGUGGUAUGUGG